UAGUUUUUUCGGGUAUAUGAAACAAAAUGGAAAAAAAGUCAGCAAGAAGCAGAUGUCAAACUACAUAGGAUGCAGUUUUUACAAUUUCCACAAGAUGGUGACCUCACUUAUUGUCAGUUGGAACGCACAACCAGGAAGCAAUAGGAGGCAAAGAGAGGAAGUGAUGUAAUAUACCGACAGGAAGUUACAAGUCAAAGGUUAGUAGAGAGGCGACGUUACUGGAACUGGCAACAUAAGAGGGUUAUUAAAGUAGUGAAAACAUAUUUUGAGUCAUUAACACCCAUCAUUCUUCAGAGGACAUCACAGCGCCUCCAUCUCACUGCCUGACAACAGAGGUAACAGGUGCCAAGAUCACUGAUCUGCUGACAGGAGAGGUUCCUAUACGGUGUCAGGAUGUCAC